GUUGUAAAUAAUUGAUUGAAAUGGAAAAUAUUAAGAAGAAGCGUGUGGUCACAAAAACACAAAAAAGUGGGCAGAAGAAGAAAACAACUCUUUAAUGAAUUUUCUUUUGGAAAACGUUGAUAUUGAGAAGCCAACCAGUGUAAUUUAUUACAAUAAAUGUUAAAAAAAAAACUACGUUAGAGGCAAAUGCUUAAAUGUUGAGGUGUAUAGUUCGGAAUCGGAAAGAAAUCAACAGGCGCAGGACUUGAUAUUGGAGACGCAUGUUUCAUAGUAAAAUUUAAUAAGGUGAAUUAUUUUAGAAACCGCAAAUGUGUCCACAUUAUGACAGACUCGUGGAGCUUUAUUUUAAUAAACAGAACUCAAAUAUCGUCGUUGAAUCAUCAUCAUUGAACGUGGAUGUUGAAUUUGAGCAAUAUAUGCACUAUAUUGAUACAAUUAAAGAUUUACCUUCAACAGCAUUAACACUACUUCCUAUACCAGUUCAUUUUACCUCAUCUGAGCCAGUACGACCUCCAGACAUCGACUCGAUGGAAGCCGAGUUAAUAUGUGAGCCAGCACUUUCACAGUCAAAAGUAUCAACUCCUCGCUCUCAACGAUCUCUUGGAAAAAAAUUUAAAACUCGUACGUUAAAAGCAGUCUAAGCGAACUUUGCUAACAUCCAAUAAAAAAGAGAUUCUUAUUAUGAAAUGCACGAGAGCAUAGAACAACAAAAAGUUGAUAAUGAAAUAACCCGGUUAAAGCUAGAAAAACAAAAGUUGGCUCUGGCUCAAGAACAAAAAGAACGACUUGCUGUCUUAUAGCUUAAAUAAAAAUAUAUUGGUUUGUC